UCUCCGUUGGUGAACCAGCGGAGGGAUCAUUACAGGACUCGAAAGACUCCCGUAACCCCUGUGAACAUACCUAUAUUCGUUGCCUCGGCGGGUGCUCGAGUCUAGCGCUCAGCCCGCCGGUGGCCCCCUACUCUGACUCACUGCGUUGGCAUCUCAGAGAAUACACAAACCAAUUAAAACUUUCAACAACGGAUCUCUUGGCUCUGGCAUCGAUGAAGAACGCAGC
rnacentral:misc_RNA from 1 species